UAUUGUGCCUAUAGAAAGGUAAACAAGUUUAGUUGCUUAUUCGGUUCCAUAAUUUUACUCGUGUAUGGCAUAGUCAUAUCUUGCGGUGGACCUUCUCAUCAAGUGGGUAUUGUUGUUGCAGGCGUUGCGCUAAUUCCGUACAUAUUUCUGUGCAGGUUGUAACAUGGACAAUAGAUGCAGUACUAAAUACGAUCAACGGCUUUCUUGUGUUGGCUUUCUUCUCAUUAGAGAUAUGAGGUCCAUUUUAUGGAUAAGUUCUCUGUGUGGCAGCACUUCAAGGCCUAAUAUGUAGCAUGUUACAUCAAUGCAUGGUAUGAGAGAACCAGGAUGCAAAUGCUACAUGCAGCCUCUGUACCAAGCUUGAAGAAAUUCAGAAAUUAAGCAUUAAAAAUGCAAGAUCUUUUACAUCAGAAUGUUGCUGCAUGGCCCUUUGCCUUUUCAUCACUAUCAAUUCUAAUGAAACCUAUAUUUUGUAUUGUCUUCAACUUUAAUUUAACUAAUCUUUAGAAAAUUCCAUCAUGUCCAAAUGACCUGUUAAGCCCACAGUUUAAAACCUUAAAUACUGUAGUGAUACUUAUGACGCUCAUGCUCUUGUCAGUGCCCACUUUCUUAUUGUGUAAUUUGGUGGUUUUUAGUUCUGUACAGAUUGGUAAUGUGCAGAAGCUGCAAGAGGUUACAAUUGUAGAUUACUCUGUUGGAAAUAUGCGCCCUCAUGACCCCUUCAGCGCGGCAUUAUCACUCCAUGCCACCAUGUCGUAUGCAUAGAGGGAGUCUUCUGGUAUGUGUCAUACUAUAUACAUUGUUGUGUGCAUGGUGAUUUCUGGAAUGGUACCAUAUACAUUGCUGAGAGGUUGAGAUUUGUUACUGUGUUGAGCAUUGGAGUUGUUGCUGAUCUUACUACAACACUUCUUGUUGGUCUGUAUGUUCAGGUAACCUUCUAAUGUUAUUCUCUAGCACUAAUAGUUUCUUCUAAGCCACGUCGUUCAGGUGUAUGUUCCUGUGGAUGCACCUCACUUUUACUAUCAUGGAGUUCCUAUGGUC